rnacentral:rRNA from 1 species
AUUGAACGCUGGCGGCAGGCCUAACACAUGCAAGUCGAGCGAGCGGCGCACGGGUGAGUAAUGUAUGGGGAUCUGCUCGUUAGAGGGGGAUAACUACUGGAAACGGUGGCUAUUACCGCAUACUUUCGGAUGAACCUAUAUGGGAUUAGCUAGUAGGUGGGGUAGAGGCUCACCUAGGCGACGAUCCCUAGCUGAUCUGAGAGGAUGAUCAGCCACACUGGGACUGAGACACGGCCCAGACUCCUACGGGAGGCAGCAGUGGGGAAUAUUGCACAAUGGGGGAAAGCCUGAUGCAGCCAUGCCGCGUGUGUGAAGAAGGCCUUAGGGUUGUAAAGUACUUUCAGCGGGGAGGCGUUACCCGCAGAAGAAGCACCGGCUAACUCCGUGCCAGCAGCCGCGGUAAUUC